rnacentral:tRNA from 1 species
GGGCCCUUAGCUCAGCUGGUUAGAGCACCUGACUCUUAAUCAGGGGGUCGCGGGUUCGAAUCCCGUAGGGCCCG